rnacentral:tRNA from 1 species
CCUUCGAUAGCUCAGCUGGUAGAGCGGAGGACUGUAGGGGAGUUGCUGUGAUCCUUAGGUCGCUGGUUCGACUCCGGCUCGAAGGA